rnacentral:rRNA from 1 species
CCCUUAGAUGUUCUGGGCAGCACGCGCGCUACAAUGGUCUUCGCAAACGGAUGCAUUCUCGAAGGAGAAUGCCAAUCUUGGAAUCUAUGCCUUGGUCGGGACAGUUGCUUGCAAUUUUUCGACUCGAACCAGGAAUUCCUUGUAAUCGUGAUUCAUCACAUCACGAUGAAUACGUCCCUGCCCUUUGUACACACCGCCCGUCGCUCCUACCGAUCGAAGAGUUAGGUGAAUUGUUUUGAUCGAUAAGAUUUGACUAUGGUCAACUCUCGUUGUGAAAUUCUGUGAAUCUGACUGUUUAGAGGAAGGAAAAGUCGUAACU